AGGAUUAUAAUUUAUCUAAAAUAUUUAAUUUGCAAUUAAAAAAUAUUGAUUAAUUUAUCAAUUUAUCUUA
rnacentral:tRNA from 1 species